rnacentral:rRNA from 1 species
AUAUUGCACAAUGGGCGAAAGCCUGAUGCAGCGACGCCGCGUGAGGGAUGACGGCCUUCGGGUUGUAAACCUCUUUCAGCAGGGAAGAAGCGAAAGUGACGGUACCUGCAGAAGAAGCGCCGGCUAACUACGUGCCAGCAGCCGCGGUAAUACGUAGGGCGCAAGCGUUGUCCGGAAUUAUUGGGCGUAAAGAGCUCGUAGGCGGCUUGUCACGUCGAUUGUGAAAGCUCGGGGCUUAACCCCGAGUCUGCAGUCGAUACGGGCUAGCUAGAGUGUGGUAGGGGAGAUCGGAAUUCCUGGUGUAGCGGUGAAAUGCGCAGAUAUCAGGAGGAACACCGGUGGCGAAGGCGGAUCUCUGGGCCAUUACUGACGCUGAGGAGCGAAAGCGUGGGGAGCGAACAGG